rnacentral:rRNA from 1 species
UACGGAGGGAGCUAGCGUUAUUCGGAAUUACUGGGCGUAAAGCGCGUGUAGGCGGCCCUGCAAGUCGGAUGUGAAAUCCCACGGCUCAACCGUGGAAGUGCAUUCGAAACUGCAGGGCUAGAGCCCUGGAGAGGAAGGUGGAAUGCUUGGUGUAGCGGUGAAAUGCGCAGAUAUCAGGAGGAACACCGAUGGCGAAGGCAGGUCUCUGGGCCACUACUGACGCUGAGAAGCGAAAGCAUGGGGAGCGAACAGG